rnacentral:rRNA from 1 species
CCAAUAGCGUAUAUUAAAGUUGUUGCAGUUAAAAAGCUCGUAGUUGAAUUUCGAGAUCGGUUUAUUGGUCGUGCUUUUGUACGUACUGGUAUUACCGGUUUCUCCUUUCUGACGAACCUUAAUGCCAUUAAUUUGGUGUUUUGGGAAAUCAGGACUGUUACUUUGAAAAAAUUAGAGUGUUUAAAGCAGGCUCACGCUUGAAUACAUUAGCAUGGAAUAACGGAAUAGGACGUUUGAUUCUAUUUUGUUGGUUUCUAGGAUCGACGUAAUGAUUAAUAGGGAUAGUUGGGGGCAUUAGUAUUCAAUUGUCAGAGGUGAAAUUCUUGGAUUUAUUGAAGACUAACUACUGCGAAAGCAUUUGCCAAGGAUGUUUUCAUUAAUCAAGAACGAAAGUUAGGGGAUCGAAGACGAUCAGAUACCGUCGUAGUCUUAACCAUAAACUAUGCCGACUAGGGAUCGGAUGAUGUUAAUUUUUUAAUGACUCAUUCGGCGCCUUACG